CCGUACACAAAAAUGCACAUGCUGUGAGCUCGAUGAGUAGGGCGGGACACGUGGUAUCCUGUCUGAAUAUGGGGGGACCAUCCUCCAAGGCUAAAUACUCCUGACUGACCGAUAGUGAACCAGUACCGUGAGGGAAAGGCGAAAAGAACCCCGGCGAGGGGAGUGAAAAAGAACCUGAAACCGUGUACGUACAAGCAGUGGGAGCACGCUUAGGCGUGUGACUGCGUACCUUUUGUAUAAUGGGUCAGCGACUUAUAUUCUGUAGCAAGGUUAACCGAAUAGGGGAGCCGAAGGGAAACCGAGUCUUAACUGGGCGUUAAGUUGCAGGGUAUAGACCCGAAACCCGGUGAUCUAGCCAUGGGCAGGUUGAAGGUUGGGUAACACUAACUGGAGGACCGAACCGACUAAUGUUGAAAAAUUAGCGGAUGACUUGUGGCUGGGGGUGAAAGGCCAAUCAAACCGGGAGAUAGCUGGUUCUCCCCGAAAGCUAUUUAGGUAGCGCCUCGUGAAUUCAUCUCCGGGGGUAGAGCACUGUUUCGGCAAGGGGGUCAUCCCGACUUACCAACCCGAUGCAAACUGCGAAUACCGGAGAAUGUUAUCACGGGAGACACACGGCGGGUGCUAACGUCCGUCGUGAAGAGGGAAACAACCCAGACCGCCAGCUAAGGUCCCAAAGUCAUGGUUAAGUGGGAAACGAUGUGGGAAGGCCCAGACAGCCAGGAUGUUGGCUUAGAAGCAGCCAUCAUUUAAAGAAAGCGUAAUAGCUCACUGGUCGAGUCGGCCUGCGCGGAAGAUGUAACGGGGCUAAACCAUGCAC
rnacentral:rRNA from 2 species